UAUAAGUACUAGAGCUCAACAAAAGAUUUAGCAAUGUAAAGAGUUGUAUUUCAGAAAGCUUGGUGUGUUCUCCUUGUUCUCUACCGAAAAUGAAAGCACACACAAAUUUAUAUACAUCAUACCAACGGUCAUAAUCCAACAAAUUUCCCAACGAUCUUGGUAACAACCUCACGUUUAAAUUUGAAUUGAAUGAUGAACGUUUGGAUGAUAUAUGUUUACUGAGUAAAAGAUAAAACACGUUUGAAA
rnacentral:lncRNA from 1 species